rnacentral:tRNA from 1 species
CUUUCCUGUGCAUAGUCACUGUCCUGACCUUUUGACUCGAUCUUCCACACUGGGCUAAAAGAGAGGGGGCUUAGCCCUCUUCCAUUUGCUACUUCAAAGUUGUACAACCCAUUUGUAUCUGCUAGGCGGCGCAGUCGUCGUGCACAAAGAACACUUUGAAAAGCAUUAAAAGUUUGUGUUUUCGAAAUGCUGAAUUGCUGCGAGAUGCUGAAAUGAUCUCACGGCUCCUCGGUUGUCAUUUCUGCUCCGUAAAGGAAUCACAGCACGCGUCAGCUCCAGCAUGGUGGGUCGGGACACGAUGCCGGGGGUCGAAUAGCACGACGUCUUCCUUGUUAGCAUAGUGGUGAGUAUCCCCGCCUAUCACGUGGGAGACUGGGGUUUGAUUCCCUGACGGGGAGUUGGUCUUCUUCUACCUCCUUAGAGAAAGGACUGCCUUUCACUUCUCUGUGUCUUCUUUCACAGCGCUGUGCACCUUUUCAUUGCUCUCGCUUUCAGAGCCUCUGCACAGCACACGACUCGACAUAAGGACGCACAUUGAAGUGAAAGCAGGAAGCGCUGCGACAUGCACUGUGCAGAUCCCACCACACUAAGAGGUCCUGCGCUGCUUUUGAGCCGACAGAGCUCGUCUUGGUCUGUCGGCACAGCCCAAUUGCAAAUGAUCGGCUCCGCGUACAGAAGGAACGUGCGUUUGGUACAAGAGUGCAUGAAGGCACCGGAAAUACAUUGGAAACAAAUGACCGGUGGCUCAAGACCUCAGUGAAGUACAGGAGCUUGCAAAAUGAACCCAUUUCCACCCAGUCUCGAACCAGGGACCUUUCACAUGUGAGGCAAUCAUGAGAACCGCAACACUACAGAAACCUGGAGAUAUCACUACUUGUGUCUUGCUUGUAUUUCAGGCUGAGAAAGGGAAGCGUCACUUUAGGCAGGGGGCGUUGGAGAGAGGAACAAAGGGCGCAAUGAAACAAAAUUCCAAAACCCGGGAUCUCCUCCCUAUUUUGCAGUGAGCACUAUAUUUUUCAUUUUCUACCCAUGUAUUUUCCUUGCUAUUUUACUGUCCCUUUCCCCCCACGCA